rnacentral:rRNA from 1 species
CCCGCUGAAUUUAAGCAUAUUAAUAAGCGGAGGAAAAGAAACUAACAAGGAUUCCCUCAGUAACGGCGAGUGAAGCGGGAAGAGCUCAAAUUUGAAAUCUCCGAUGCUUGCAUCGGCGAGUUGUAGUUGCGAGAAGCACUUUCUAGGCGGAUCGACGGUGCCUAAGUUGCUUGGAACGGCACGUCGCAGAGGGUGACAACCCCGUCUGUGGCGCCGCCGGCCGCCGACGAUGUGCUUUCGAAGAGUCGGGUUGUUUGGGAAUGCAGCCCAAAACGGGUGGUAAACUCCAUCUAAAGCUAAAUACUGGCGUGAGACCGAUAGCGAACAAGUACCGUGAGGGAAAGAUGRAAAGAACUUUGAAAAGAGAGUUAAAAAGUACGUGAAACCGUCGAAAGGGAAACGAAUGGACUCAGCAAUGCGCCCUCUGAGAUUCAGCCGGUGGGUGGCGGCGGCGCCGGGUUUGCGGAUCUGAAUGGACCGCGGCCUGGCGCCCGCCUCUCCCCGCCGUCGCACUUCUCUGGGGCGCGCGUCAACGUGGGUUGGGACUGGGUCUGAAAGGCGCCGGGAAGGUAGGUGUGGGCCUUCGGGUCCGUUCUGUUACAGCCCGGUUCUCUCAUGGCUCGGGCCCGACCGAGGAGCGACACGGGGCAUGCCUCCUGUGGCUAGGGUCCCGCCCUUCCGGCCGGCUGUCCAGUGCGGUGGACUGCUUGCAGUGCUCCGCGACGGCUGCCGGUCGUUGGGGUGGUGAUCUCGUACCAUGCCCCUAGGAUGUUGGCGGUCAUAUGGGUGC